rnacentral:rRNA from 1 species
CCUACGGGAGGCAGCAGUGAGGAAUAUUGGUCAAUGGGCGGGAGCCUGAACCAGCCAAGUCGCGUGAGGGAAGACGGUCCUAUGGAUUGUAAACCUCUUUAGGCGGGGAGCAAUGCAGGGCACGUGUGCCCGGAGGGAGAGUACCCGCAGAAUAAGCAUCGGCUAACUCCGUGCCAGCAGCCGCGGUAAUACGGAGGAUGCGAGCGUUAUCGGGCUUUAUUGGGUUAAAAGGGUGCGUAGGCGGAUUUUUAAGUCAGCGGUAAAAUGUCCGGGCUCAACCCGGGCCGGCCGUUGAAACUGGGGAUCUUGAGUGGGCGAGAAGUAUGCGGAAUGCGUGGUGUAGCGGUGAAAUGCAUAGAUAUCACGCAGAACUCCGAUUGCGAAGGCAGCAUACCGGCGUCCGACUGACGCUGAGGCACGAAAGCGUGGGGAGCGAACAGGAUUAGAUACCCGGGUAGUC